rfam:Gossypium raimondii Chr11_contig_1506, whole genome shotgun sequence.
UGUCAAAAAUUUUAUCCAUUUGCACUGCUAAAAAUUGACAUGACUGGUGAAAUAAUCAGACAAUGACACAUGGCGUACCAUAUGUACCUAAUGUUAACGUAUCAAGACCAGCUUUUAAUGGUAAAAAUGUAUGAAAUUUUUAACA